GCUCAGGACGAACGCUGGCGGCGUGCCUAAUACAUGCAAGUCGAGCGGGGUURUKUAGAAGCUUGCUUCUAMAYAACCUAGCGGCGGACGGGUGAGUAACACGUAGGCAACCUGCCCACAAGACAGGGAUAACUACCGGAAACGGUAGCUAAUACCCGAUACAUCCUUUUCCUGCAUGGGAGAAGGAGGAAAGACGGAGCAAUCUGUCACUUGUGGAUGGGCCUGCGGCGCAUUAGCUAGUUGGUGGGGUAAAGGCCUACCAAGGCGACGAUGCGUAGCCGACCUGAGAGGGUGAUCGGCCACACUGGGACUGAGACACGGCCCAGACUCCUACGGGAGGCAGCAGUAGGGAAUCUUCCGCAAUGGGCGAAAGCCUGACGGAGCAACGCCGCGUGAGUGAUGAAGGUUUUCGGAUCGUAAAGCUCUGUUGCCAGGGAAGAACGUCUUGUAGAGUAACUGCUACAAGAGU
rnacentral:rRNA from 1 species